UAUCUCUCUAUCUAUCUAUCUAUGACUAGCUCGAUUGAUAGCUAACUUGCUCGAUAGCUAACUACCCAUCAAACUAACUAGCACUCUAGCUAAGUAGAUGGAUAUUAGCCCUCUCUCUCUCUCUUUGUUUCUCUCUCUCUCUCUCUCUCACGAACUAGAUCGACAGCUAACUUAGUAGAUAGCUAACUACCCGUCAAGCUACCUAGCACUCUAGCUAAAUAGCUAGAUUCUCUCAACUCAUCUCAGCUGUAUUUAUAGAACACUUUAAAACAACCACCGCUGUAUACAAAGUGAUGUACAUGGAGCAAAAAUAAUUCAGACAAUAAAACAACCAAUUAAUAACAAAGAGGAAAACUAAAAAUCAAGAUCCAUGCUGAGUCAAAAGCCAAAGAAUAAAAAAAAAGUUUUAAAGAUGGACAGCGAGGGAGCUUGCCCUAACGUUCAGCGGAACAAUCAGAGGGCCAAGCGUGUUUCAGCUUGAUUGAUAGAUUGAUUGAUUUUCUGCUCCUUCUAUUCUGCCGUGAAAGGCCCAAAACAUUCUAAGUAUUUGGGAGUGGAGUAAAGUACAAAUCACUUGUUACAUGCUAAUGUUGCCGUUUGGCCCGCACAGCGAGGCUGUGUGCUUGUAUAUUAUUUUUAUAACCCUUUUCCCAGGACACUAGAUCGCUGUCAAAUUACCAGGUUAAGUCUCGGCCUCUCCUUCGGUAAUCAACACCGCCAGUGACUGCAAAAGAACAUUCUUCCCCACUUAUAGCAUCUGAGCCAGUAUGUACAUGCACCCCGGACGGCGUGUUCGUUCUGGGCUAAUUAAAAAGCACCUCGUUUGUUUUCGUUGGCUUAGUGGCUGAUAUAAGCCUCCGAAGUGUGCAAAUGACGGAUACGGUUGCGAACCUUGUCAACGCAACGGCACACUAUGUUGGGGGGCGGGUGUCAUGAGACACAAAUGAACCCUUAAGGUCACGUACGUCAGAUUCAUGCUUAUGUAACCAUUAUUUUAAAACAUGCAUCCCUUGGCCUUGUUGUGCAUCGUCGUCGGCAUGGCAAUUAAGUGACACUUGCUUUCUUGUUUGGGGGGUGGGGGGGGUGAAUGAGCUCCCAUAACAGAUCGUGGAUGUCAUUAGCUGCCGCUCAUCAGCGUCGAAAAACAAAAUGAAGCACAGCAUAUGUCCAGGCCCGGUUUGAUGUAUUUGCGUCAUUCGGAAAACCAAGUGUGAUCUGCUUGUUUGCAUUGAAACGAUAUUAUGUAAGAGUUCGGGUCAAAAUCCGUUUUAGUUUACAGGCAGCUGGCACUUCAUUAGACACAAACUAAUUACUUCCAAGGCAGUUAUUUAUUUCUUUAUUUAUUUUAAAUCUUAGGCUUUUGAUUGUCACUGUCAGAGAUCAUCAUAAUCAUUGUUUUAAAAGAUGUUUAUGUAUUUCAGACGAUUUUUCAGUUUUGAUUGUGUUUUAUUCAGUAAUUGUAUUUCACAAUAUUAUCCAAUUUUAAUCCAACUUUAGACUUCAAGAAAUUUGUGACAAAAUCUCCAAUAACAAUAAUGAUAAUAAUAUAUGAUUGAUGAUACUUUUAUCAAAUAAAUAUUGGCUUGGCUACGUUCACACUUGGCCUUUUUACAAUUAACAAUGAAAUAUAUUAUGACUCAUUUCACAACAUAAAUUGUAUUUUAUUUAAUCAUUUUCUUGGUGAACACUGCAAAUGUGAUACACUUUUGCCUGAGAAACUCAUACCUGCGAUAAAGGUCUUCUAAACCUUUUUUGGGUCGUGUCUUUGCUUGUGUGAAGCACAUUGAGUUGCCUUUAAAACGAAAACGAAAGGACUUCUUCUCAAGUAGUUUGAUGCAAUCUGGGAAUGAUAAGAGGCACGUAAAGGCAGCUUUCUUGUUGUGUCCUUGUCUGGCACAUAUGUGGCAUGAAUUAAAAAUGAGCCCGCUCCAGUUGUAGAGGGGACACCCAUUUUUUUUUUCUUUUUGUGAAGUAGGGUGACAACUUCUUGCAGCAAUCGUGUCAAAUCACAGCUGGUGCGUAACAACAACUUUGAUGAAAGUGAAACAAGUUAACUUUGUGGAUUUGCCUUCAGCCUCCUUUCAAAAAAAAAAAAAAAUCAAUGCUAGAAUGUUCGCUUUGGAUACUGGU